CGAUUGAGUUUGAUCCUGGCUCAAGAUGAACGCUGGCGGCGUGCCUAACACAUGCAAGUCGAGCGGAGCAAUCUUGAUGAAGUUUUCGGAUGGAAUCAGGAUUGACUUAGCGGCGGACGGGUGAGUAACACGUGGAUAACCUGCCUUAUACUGGGGGAUAACAGCCAGAAAUGGCUGCUAAUACCGCAUAAGCGCACGGCGCCGCAUGGCGCAGUGUGAAAAACUCCGGUGGUAUAAGAUGGAUCCGCGCCUGAUUAGCUAGUUGGCGGGGCAGCGGCCCACCAAGGCGACGAUCAGUAGCCGGCCUGAGAGGGCGACCGGCCACAUUGGGACUGAGACACGGCCCAAACUCCUACGGGAGGCAGCAGUGGGGAAUAUUGCACAAUGGGGGGAACCCUGAUGCAGCGACGCCGCGUGAGUGAAGAAGUAUUUCGGUAUGUAAAGCUCUAUCAGCAGGGAAGAAGAUGACGGUACCUGACUAAGAAGCCCCGGCUAACUACGUGCCAGCAGCCGCGGUAAUACGUAGGGGGCAAGCGUUAUCCGGAUUUACUGGGUGUAAAGGGAGCGUANACGGCAGGGCAAGUCUGGAGUGGAAGCCCG
rnacentral:rRNA from 1 species